rnacentral:misc_RNA from 1 species
GAACGCAUAUUGCGCCCUUUGGUAUUCCGGAGGGCAUGCCUGUCCGAGCGUCAUUACUAUCUUCAAGCACGGCUUGUGUGUUGAGCAUUUGUUCUUUAAUGGACAAGCUUGAAAUGCAGUGGCAAUGCUGCGUCUGGUGCCCGAGCGUUAUAGGGCUUUGUCACCCGCUCCGUUGGCUCCAGCCAGCAUUUUUUGGCCAUAAAACUUUUUUUUUUUAAAAAAAAAAUAUCAAAACUGACCUCGGAUCAGGCAAGAAUACCCGCUGAACUUAAG